AAUUUCAUUUAAUAUUUUAUCUACAGUCCAGUCAGUUGCAACAAUAAUUAAAGCAACAGGAAACAGCCAAGUACACAUGCAAGUGAUUGUUAUGAGGAUUGCAAAAGUUUUAAAUAUCAGAAACUGAAGAAGGUAUUGAUAAUCAGCAGAUAAUAAAAAAAGCAAAAGUACUGAUUAUUCAAAUCUUUUAAAGUUAAACCAUCACCACUUCCACAGCCACCUUGUCUCAAGCAUUCAAUCACAUUCUAAGAUAUCUUUAUUGAAAUUAAGUGUGACUACUUUACCAAAAGACUCUAGAAUGGACCAAUCAAUGAAACUGUCGGUAUCUCCACAACUUUUCAAUUAAAUAGAAAGUUUCAAUCAAACAGGAUACUGAGUGUGCCUACUGCUCCUCAAGACAAUGGAUAAUGGGAGUUAUCAAACUUGCGAUAACUACAAGUUUUUUUAAUAAGUAAAAAGAUUGUAUGACUUCGGUAUCCGCAAUAUGGUAUCGUGCAUUGGUUCUUAUCUUAGAAUGGCUCCCUUCCGUAUAGGUGAAAAUAAGAAAGGUUAUCAGUUCAAGCAAAGAUGACAAUGAUCAUUAUGGAGCCGAUCAUGGUGACGAAUACGAUAAUGCAUAUAAUAAU
rnacentral:lncRNA from 1 species